rnacentral:lncRNA from 1 species
GAUGUCGCCUACUGAUUCUUCUCGCGAGGAAAAUGUGUACAUGGCCAAGCUGGCCGAGCAGGCUGAACGUUAUGAGGAAAUGGUUGAGUUCAUGGAAAAAGUUGCAAAAACAGUUGAUGUUGAGGAGCUAACCGUGGAGGAAAGGAACCUUCUCUCAGUUGCUUACAAGAAUGUGAUUGGGGCCAGGAGGGCUUCAUGGAGGAUCAUCUCUUCGAUUGAGCAGAAGGAGGAGAGCAGGGGAAAUGAAGACCAUGUCUCAGUAAUUAAGGAGUACAGGAGCAAGAUUGAGAAUGAGCUCAGCAAGAUCUGUGAUGGGAUUCUUAGCCUCCUUGAGUCUCAUCUCAUUCCCUCUGCCUCAUCGGCUGAGUCUAAGGUGUUCUACCUGAAGAUGAAGGGUGAUUACCACAGGUAUCUGGCUGAGUUCAAGACUGGAGCUGAGAGGAAGGAAGCUGCGGAGAGCACUUUGUUGGCCUACAAGUCAGCUCAGGUGGGUUUAAUGUGCCUUGGUCUUAUAUAUGCACUCUCUCGCUUACUUUGCGGCAUUGAUAGCUUAUUUAGUUUAUCUAUCAUUGAUGUUCAUGCAGGAUAUUGCUUUAGCUGAAUUGGCCCCUACUCACCCAAUAAGGCUGGGACUUGCACUCAACUUCUCUGUUUUCUACUAUGAAAUCCUUAACUCACCAGAUCGUGCAUGCAAUCUUG